GAUGAACGCUGGCGGCGUGCCUAAUACAUGCAAGUCGAGCGAACAGACGAGGAGCUUGCUCCUCUGACGUUAGCGGCGGACGGGUGAGUAACACGUGGAUAACCUACCUAUAAGACUGGGAUAACUUCGGGAAACCGGAGCUAAUACCGGAUAAUAUAUUGAACCGCAUGGUUCAAUAGUGAAAGACGGUUUUGCUGUCACUUAUAGAUGGAUCCGCGCCGCAUUAGCUAGUUGGUAAGGUAACGGCUUACCAAGGCAACGAUGCGUAGCCGACCUGAGAGGGGGAUCGGCCACACUGGAACUGAGACACGGUCCAGACUCCUACGGGAGGCAGCAGUAGGGAAUCUUCCGCAAUGGGCAAAAGCUUGACGGAGCAACGCCGCGUGAGUGAUGAAGGUCUUCGGAUCGUAAAACUCUGUUAUUAGGGAAGAACAAAUGUGUAAGUAACUAUGCACGUCUUGACGGUACCUAAUCAGAAAGCCACGGCUAACUACGUG
rnacentral:rRNA from 1 species